GUGUAUAGUAGGUAGAGACGACUAUCGUCUGUGGCAUUACCAUAGAGCUGGUCAGUUUUCAAUUGCGUUCGUUCUGGAUUGUGAUUAAGACUGAGACAACAAGUUAGAUAUUUGUAUUCCUAUUAGAAAUGCCAAGUGAAGUCGUCUGAUACUGCACAGACUUGAGUGUAAUGGCCCGCCUUUAAGCAUUAUUCUUUAAUAUUAUCUCUGGCCUGAAGUAUUAGUGCUUGUUUUCUAUCUUAUCGCAGCUGUAAAACGUUCGUCUCAAAGUUCAUAUUUUGACUACUUGCAUAUACGAGUAUGUAUGUGUUUUAUUGGACGGUGAGACCCAAUGGACAAAGACUACGACAGCUUAUACAUAUGUACAUCGCUCAAAAUGCAAUUGAAUUCGCGACCCUUUGGCCACUUCAAGCUUCAGUUCAGCUGGGAAUACUCCUUCCACACCUCCAUCUAUUGCAGAUGAAACAUCUGAUUGACCGCUUGAGGGGCGUAGCGGCGGUAGAUAGACAGCGGCUUGUGCCUGGGGGCCGACCGACACGCAACGCGAGCCUCCUUCGCAGCCUCCUGCGGAAUAUCUUCAGUGAGUUCCGUCAUCGUUACUUACUCGGAAAUUGCUCCAAGGAAAUCAGGAGUUCUUGCAACGGAUGCUGUGCAUCAGGAAGUGACAGUUCCUCCGGCAGCAGUUUGCGUACCUUUUCCUUUACAACUUUCUGCUUACCUGAGAGCUUCCCAAUUCUUCGCAACAAAGGUCAGCUUCCAUGUCAGUGAUGCAUGGUCGGCUUUCCAAGACACCAUAUCGCUUUCGGUCAGGCUGGUGCUGCCCUUGCUAAUACUGUAAUCAUCAUGACACUUUCCUUGCAGUAGUUUCCGGUCGGGCCCUUCUCUAAGAUACUUGUACGUAUAAUUGCGUGGCUUCAGGAAGAUUCUAUUGCUAAAGAAUAGAACUACCUGCCAUGUCGUAUAGUGCAUUCAAGUUAUUUGCCUUUGCCUUCACCUUCUCCACAAGUGUCGAGUCUCUAUAUUUUAUUUAUAGAUAAACGAAAUGUAUAUGCAAGGCGGCGCAUCAUUUCUUAAGUAUUUUGGUUGCCGAAAACGUCCGACAACUUUAAGAAAAUCGGCAACAAGGCUACCGGGAUGGAAGGGAUUAACAAUAGGGACAAGAAACGCUCGUCAUCAAGAAGGUCUUCAAACCAGGCUAUUGCUUCACCACCGGUCCCCAAGGUGCAGGAGUCGCAAGAGUGUCGAGUCGCUCAAGGUGGGUGCUGAAGUGAUGAACACACUAGCUGGCAUGUCAACAACGGGAGUGCCUUCUGCCUAUGCGGGCUGAAAUAAUUAAAUAAUAAUUAGAACCUGCGAACUUCCUCCAGAGCGAUUUUAACAUACCAGUUUUCUUUAGAAGAAGUUGAAUGUGCCACAUUUAUAUAGAAGAAAUUGAUAUCUUAGGCUUGGGUUUAAAGAAAAAAGAUAAUAACAAAUCUAUGCCGCGAAUUUCGGGUGCUGUCAACUGAUUGCUGAUUGUGCCAUUCACACAAAACCCUUCAAUUCUAAUUGCUGCCUUGGCAAUGUGAAGAAGUUAUAAACAAAUUAGCUGUGGAAGUGAUUAUAAAAAAGCGUUGGACGAGCUGCCAACUUGUGCUUUUAAUACUACUAAAAGGCCAUUCACACAAAACCCUUCAAUUCUAAUUGCUGCCUUGGCAAUGUGAAGAAGUAAUAAACAAAUUAGCUGUGGAAGUGAUUAUAAAAAAGCGUUGAAAAACACGCGUCUCAGCACUGGUAAUUUGUUGCAAAAACUGCUUCACUUGCCCAAAACGCAUUUUCCAAUUAAACAUACCGGCUCUGCAAAACUUUGAAUCGAUAAGGAUGGAAAAAAGACAAACAUUGCCCCGCAGAAGCCUUGAACAUUUAAGUUACCAGGAAUUUUUUUGUCUGUUGCGAACAAGAAUUCAGUGAAGAACUCAUUCUACAAAAUAAAACACUUCUACGGCAAUAACCAAAACAUCGAAUAGUAAGAUCUCCGUUCAGGCAACACCUGCAGAAGGCAAAGAAAUGCGUUCGAUGACCGCCACCUUUCACAGCUCCUAAAAAGUAUUCUAAAAGAAUUAAAUACUGUGGCCUAAAGGUCUUUUCCUCAGACAGUGUACAAAUUCUACUUGUCCCCUGGAAUUCCUUACGUGCCAAUGCCAUUGACCAGGAUGGCCAUGACAGCAGUAGAGAAUACAAACCAUCGCUACGCGGUAAUCUUUCGAGAUCUCCAGACUCUGUUCUUGCUGUCGUUGCAUUUGCAGAAUAGUAGACAUGGACUCGUUGUCGCGCUAUCCGAGAUGGUGGUGCAGGGCCCUGUACGAUGGAGAACUAGGAUUUAGUGAUGACGCCUAUGGGGAUAAUAAGCAUAUAUCACGCAGGCCAGUAUUUGUAGAUGAGAACUUCAUUCGACCAGUUCCUGAAAUGUUUUGCCGACCCGUUGGUGGCCUGCGAGAAUAUCGGAUUCUAUAUGGUUUGCAGCCUCAACGAGCAGACCUCUAUCGUAUUGAAAAAGCUCUUCCUAACGUCGCACAAUACUUUUUAUUGGACCUGAAAGAUGCAGUAUGUUUAUACAAAUUGAGUAAAUGGUCAACUUGGAAUGCUCAUUUCUCUUAAAAUAGACAUCCGAUAUUCUCGAAGUUUCCAUUUUUGGAAGUUCUGGAAAGUUCUCUACCAGAUGCGUAUAUAUAAAGUAUCCAAAGUUCCCCUUUUUUUGGAUCUUCAGUCCCUGUACUUCCAGCGCUCUUUGGCCCGGCCCCGGACACCCAUUGGUUCUGUCACUGUGCUCUCGAUCCGAACGAUGUCGGCUGUCGCGGUCAUAACUAUGGUUUUUUUAACAUCAACCAUUACGAAAUAAUGUCAUUUGAAAAGAUAUAAUCAUACACAAUUUUAACACUGUCCUCGACUAAAAUUCGCACUUCAUUAUAGCUAUGGCUAACUUCAGACGACGAAAAUUCCAUCGUCGAUGAAAUUCAUCCUUAACAGCUUCGAGCUUUUAUACAAGUCCUUGAUUUUGUCUAAAUUUAAAUUUUAGAGAUAUGUGUGAUAGUACUAGAAUUGUGAUUGCGAUUUUUACAUUACUGUUUUCCUGCUAUGGACAUCCAUAUGUCCUUCAAAUAGACAAUCAAUAAUUUUACAAAGUUUGAAUAACCCCGUCAGGUUUAAUUUACGUACAUACAUAAAUGUAAGACUGUAUACAUGGCCAUUGGCCAAGCUGUUUAUUUCAAUACGUUUUUGAUCUACAGUUAUUUUUGUUCUGUUUUGGCCGGUUUCUAUACAGUAUAUCUGUACUACAACCAGACCUCCGAUGCCAAUUGGUUCAAGGUGAUCUUCGCUAUCCCAGUGCUAAGCAUAGUGUCAUACUCAAUGUGAAUUCGAUCAGGUCUCAGUCGCAGUUCCACGUAAAAGUCGUAAACCGAGUCAAAGCCAUGGGAAAUGGCAACUGGAGGUGCAAUGCUCAGUUCUGGGUGUUCUUCCCAGAAUUCUUCAUCGUAGCUCCGAUGCCAAUUAGUCCAAGGUGAUCAUUGUUAGUAAGCAUAGAGUCGUACUCGAUCUGAAUUCGAUCCAUGCUGAUUAAUGAAAAGCGGUUGACACGAAAUCUGCCAAAGCUUUGGAAAAUAAAGCAGGCUGGAGCUUCUGAUUUCCUUCGCGAUGCAAUGAAUGUGAAGGUUGAUUUUCAUUCACCUUGAGGAAAGAAGUGCCCCAACGGCUUCUCCAAAAGCUAAAUGAAAUGGGAAACUUUUCCUCGAGACUUCGUGGUAUAUGAUCAGUCCAUGGAGAAUAUUAUGGAAACAAACUGGCGGACAAGAACUUACCCACUCCCGGGUCAAGUCGCAGCAGCAUAGUAAAACCAUUGGGUAAAAAUAUUCGAAAAAACCAAUUGAAUGGCGAAUAGCCAAAUUACCAAAAGCCAUAGUGAUUACUGGACAAAAAACCAACGAAGACCGUGGAAUAGCUAGGUCGGGCUGAACCGAACCCGUACCGGUCCAGGUCAAGGUCGAGUUGGACUGAGGCUUGAAACUCGGGUGUGGGCCAAAGGCAGCACGUCGACGUCAGUGCAGAGUGGGCAAUGCCCCAGCCCGAAAAAACGAUCCAAGUGUAUAUACAAGGCAGUCCCUGUCGUGGUUACCCCAACGGAUUGCGCACUCGGACGUGCCCGCCUAGCCGACAGGUGAGGGCCCUAUCCAUAUCCAUCAGCAGACAACCGGCUGUGGGUGGAUCACCCUUAAGUAGAUUAGAUCACCCUGAACCGCUUGCUAAACCUCAAGUUUUGGCAUAAUUGAAUGCAGCUGCCAGAACUUGGCCAAUCUGAUUGCCAAAUAAUACAACUGUCAGCAGAGCUCGCCCAACCUUGGCAUGCGAGCACAAGUGCUGAGGACGGCACAAUCCAAAAACAAGCCGAAAAAUGCAAACUCAUGAUACACUCUCUGGUUUGACCUCAUCCCACCGAUCUGAAACUGUUUGCGAUCAGUUCUUAGAUCACCUCUGCUUGAAGGCCGGGCCAGAACCUGUUCAGACAUAGCAGAUUCUGGCUCGGCCCUUACAUGGCAGUGGGGGUGGGAGCGGGGAGAGUUAGGGAACAGCACACAAGCCGGAGUCCAGAAACAGAAUUUCGCAUAAUCAAGAGGUUCCGAAGAAUCUGCCGUGUCAUUGUUUGUGGACAAAUAUUGACCGAGUUGUUGCUUAAAAUGUGUGCUAACUCGUUUACAUAUCUAUUUUUCAAGUCUCUGGACUGGACUUUGGUAAAAAAUAUUCGCUCGAAGAAGUGCCCUAACCAUCUGUUGACGCCUGCAGAACUAUCCCUUAACAAAGGUCGUUUUUUCCUCAAAAUACUUUUUCCAGUGCCCCAUUAUGGGACUCAUAGAAGUAGAUUGCCUUUGCACUAAAAACGGUUCAUUGCAUUCAAUUUGGUCCGUCCAAGAUGGUGGUGGUGAGCACAGGAAGGUAAACAUGAUAGCGAUACUUAAAUAACUAUGUACAUACAUAUGUGCAUUUGUUCGAGUACAUGCAUUGAUGGUGAUGAUGAUAUAUACGUAAAUAGAACUAAGUAUCACCGUAUAUAAAGUACAUAUACUUCUUGCGGCCAUUAUGACAAUGAACACUUAAACAGACAGCUAUUGUACAUACAUAUGUAUAUCUAAAUCUGCUCUUUAAAGCUGAGCUUGAGAUGGUGAUUUGCUUAAAUUCAAAUUUCUACCUUUUAAAUAGAACCAAUUUUUAUAAACACCAUUAAAGAAAUGUGUCAAUGACUUGAGUCAACUUUUGCUAGCCAGACAAAGCACAAAUACACAGACGGACAGAUCGCAUAGACCUAAUCGGAAUGACUCUACACUACCGUACAUCAGAUACGCACACAAACGCAUCUUUUGUUGAAAUAUUUUAAUUUGUUUUCAAUUCAUUUGCAUUCGAUUUUAUCAGAGAACUAAAUUUCGAACUAACUAAGAUGAACACUCAUUUGGAAAGGUUUACAAAUAUUUUCUCACUUGUUUUGGCUCUCGGAAGGAGUAGUAGGCACUAAUACAGGUCCUUUGUGGCAUUUCGCUCGCUUUAAAACACCGUUAUCAUCGAUUACUGUUUUAUUUCUGGAUCAAAUUCAUAUAUCCAUGAUUCGUUGCCUGUGUAGAUCUUAUACUCAGCUUUUGAAGCGUAUACAACCGUAUUUUUGGAUAAUUUCCUUAAACCAAUCGACACGAGUGCCUUUUUUGACCGAUUUUCAAAUUGUGUAGGAUCCAACGCAAAAACACACCGUUUUUACCCGAGGCGAUCAUGGAAAAUCUUACUGAUGGACGUCAUACUAAUGCCCAAGGAUGCCUCAAUCUUCCGGUAUCUUCCACAAUAUUUUUUGGCACAACAACUGGUUUAAGACGACCUUCCCGGAAUUUGUCCUGCAACGAAGGACGUCCACGAUUUAAUGCGUUGCAAUAAAAAUUAAACUAAGCUUGUCUAAGAGUUCUUGGCUUAAGAAUCCGCAUCAAAUACAGUAGAAAAUCGUGACACGGACAUUUUCAUGUGGUAAUUUUCGCUUUUUCCCGAAAUGAACUUUUAUUUUGUCAUUUAUCAUUAAAUUCAUUUAAUUUAUCGUUAAACGAUAUCAAAUGCGACCUCUACAAGAGAAAGGUUUAUGUAGGCUUAUCACAGGAAAAAUGGUUAAACACACUUAAUCCCGCCGGGGUCAUCUUUUGGUUUUACAUUGGAAAAUGCAUCGGAAAGCGCCACAUUCUUAGAUAUAAUGUUUCAAUGUGCCAUUUCCCGCUUUUUUAACCAACAAAAUGAAAGCUGCAUGUUUGCGAUAUAGGUAUAUGUACACUAAAACCUGGAAACUAAAUAAAGUUAAAUAAUACGACAAUAAACUUAUCCAAAACUCAAAAAAGGAAUGCAAAAACUUCAGAAAAGUAGACAUUCAUAGAUUUUAUGUAACUCAAGAACUUAAAGAAGUCUUACUAUAAGAUGAAGCUACGAAAACGCAAAUGAUGAAUCAAUCUACCAAAAAUUGUAUUGAUAAUUCAGAAAUCGAAAAUUCAACAUAUGUAUUGGUGGAGGCGAUGUGGCUCCUUUUACAAGAAAAGAAUUGGCGGUGAGUUCGACAUGGUGUGAGACGAUUUUUAAGCCCAGUAUUCAACAGUCACAGUCACUUUUUAACAGUUCAGUCUGUUAAAGUAAAUAAAAGGCUGUAUAAUUUUUCGAGUGUUCAUAAGAUACAUAAGAAAUGUUGGACAUAAGAAAUUUCGAUGGCUACUGACCAAGAAUUUAAGUACAUAUAUGUAUAUUCAAGAAAAAAGUUUUCCUUCUGCCGUAAACUUAACUUAAGAUUUAAAAAAGU